GAAAGAGAAUAAAAAUGCAGACUUCUUUCGGGAGAAGGUAGCAAAGCAGCUCAGCGCGCCGUAUUCAUCAAAGCAUUUUUCGAACAACCCGAGGCGACAGAUGUUUUCCGAAACUCGGCGACGAGAGAAACCAAAUAGACGACUUUAGGAACAGUAAUACGAAACACCGUGGGGGGGAUUGGGGAAGCAGAGGGGCGCGAUUGAAGGGACAAAUCAAACUCCGAGCGCUUCGUCUCCAACGAGCACUACUGAUUAUAAAACCCUUCUCCUCUCUCCUCUCCUCCUCCAACCUCGAUCCUCCCACGCUCCUGCUUCUUCCCUUCAGCUUCUCCGAUCCCUACGCUAUUCACUAUUCCUUCGCUUUCACCAUUACUCCUCAUUCCCGGUUUCGUCCCCAUUUAGGUUACAAUACUACGAUAGGUGAAAGGGAGAUCAGACCUAGGUCACGGAUAAUUGUGGAGUGGACUCCUGAUCACUUGGACAAUCAACUAUCCAUCUCUUGCCUUCAGCUAGAACUUAGAAAGCUUUGAAUGCAUUCCACAAAUGUAGCCGCUUUAAUGUGAGCCCCCUAGAGACCCAGAAGUGCCCUGAAGUUCUGCGUCCUUUGAUUCUGAAAAAUAGUAGCAUGAACCUCCAUUACAGAAGCAUCCAGCGGGAUACUUCUCCAACGCCAUUUUUCCACCACCAUUUCAUUUAGUCAAAGGAGCGGAAUUGUAAAGUUCUUUACGAUUUUUUGAGAGCUCCCAAGUAUCAAAGCGACUAUGUUUGUUGAAUGCAUUUUCAAAUUGGGUCCAAGUGCUGGCAGCUUAGCUACUUUGCUCACUGCCUCACUUUUCUUCCCAAAGUUUAAAGUUGUCUCCCUGCACAGCCCAGCGACGUAGUGGAAGACCAAUGAGUGGCAGAUGGCCCAUACAUGUUGGAUUUGGGUACCCUUCAGAAAGUGCGUUUUGACCUUUGCCAAAUGUUAGCCAUCCAUUUGGUAGAGUAUCUGGAGAUAAUUUUGGAGAAAUCUGGCAACUCCAGCUGGAGGGCUGAGUAGUUGAUAUAUUUGAUGGUGAUUUCCACUCUCCCAUGUAGCAGUGGAUAUAUAUGAGGUUUUGCGCGUGGGAUGCUCCUUUUAUUAUGGAAGGUUGCUUCUUGUACUACUACUACCUAUACAAUCUAUGAACCAAUCAUUUCUUAUGGGAUUAGUAGUAAUCCAGGUAAUGCUUCAACAGAGGAAUCAUGGCCGGCACCAUUAGCGGGAUGCUUAUGUUUGGGAUGGGAUACUGUUUCAUGAUUCAUGAACCAUACGUAACUGGAAACAGCUAAUCCUCAAGUGCUUUUGGAGUUGCUGGUGCUUAUUUUGUGUGCUGAACUUGACCUCAGGGCUUGUACUGUGCAUGUGGACCCAAAAACAGUGCAAGGAGCAACUAACAUAGUACGUACGUGAAGGAACUUAAAGUAGAUCAAUGGGGAUGGAUAAUUAGUUUACUAUUUUUCCGUCCGUGGAAUUUUACAAAAUUUAAUUGCAUAAUAAUAUGGCAAUAUGAGAAAGUUAAAGGCAGAUGUAUGAACAGCAGGUUGAACAAGUCUGGUCCCAUGAACCAAUAUUCGAUCCUAUCUAGUAACA